rnacentral:rRNA from 1 species
GUACACUCCUGCGGGAGGCAGCAGUGGGGAAUUUUGGACAAUGGGCGAAAGCCUGAUCCAGCAAUGCCGCGUGAGUGAAGAAGGCCUUCGGGUUGUAAAGCUCUUUUGUCAGGGAAGAAACGGUGAGAGCUAAUAUCUCUUGCUAAUGACGGUACCUGAAGAAUAAGCACCGGCUAACUACGUGCCAGCAGCCGCGGUAAUACGUAGGGUGUAAGCGUUAAUCGGAAUUACUGGGCGUAAAGCGUGCGCAGGCGGUUUUGUAAGUCUGAUGUGAAAUCCCCGGGCUCAACCUGGGAAUUGCAUUGGAGACUGCAAGGCUAGAAUCUGGCAGAGGGGGGUAGAAUUCCACGUGUAGCAGUGAAAUGCGUAGAUAUGUGGAGGAACACCGAUGGCGAAGGCAGCCCCCUGGGUCAAGAUUGACGCUCAUGCACGAAAGCGUGGGGAGCAAACAGGAUUAGAUACCCCGGUAGUCCC